UAGGGAAUCUUCGGCAAUGGACGAAAGUCUGACCGAGCAACGCCGCGUGAGUGAAGAAGGUUUUCGGAUCGUAAAACUCUGUUGGUAGAGAAGAACGUUGGUGAGAGUGGAAAGCUUUCGUCAAGUGACGGUAAUCAACCAGAAAGUCACGGCUAACUACGUGCCAG
rnacentral:rRNA from 1 species